CCUACGGGUGGCAGCAGUGGGGGAUAUUGCACAAUGGGGGGAACCCUGAUGCAGCGACGCCGCGUGGGUGAAGGAGCGUUUCGGCGCGUAAAGCCCUAUCGGCAGGGAAGAAGAUGACGGUACCUGACCAAGAAGCCCCGGCUAACUACGUGCCAGCAGCCGCGGUAAUACGUAGGGGGCCAGCGUUAUCCGGAUUUACUGGGUGUAAAGGGGGCGCAGACGGCAAUGCAAGCCAGGAGUGAAAGCCCGGGGCCCAACCCCGGGACUGCUCUUGGAACUGCAUGGCUGGAGUACAGGAGGGGCAGGCGGAAUUCCUAGUGUAGCGGUGAAAUGCGUAGAUAUUAGGAGGAACACCGAUUGCGAAGGCAGCUUACCAAACUACGACUGACGUUGAGGCACGAAAGCGUGGGGAGCAAACAGGAUUAGAUACCCCAGUAGUC
rnacentral:rRNA from 1 species